rnacentral:rRNA from 1 species
CAGUGGGGAAUCUUGCACAAUGGGGGAAACCCUGAUGCAGCGACGCCGCGUGAGCGAUGAAGCCCUUCGGGGUGUAAAGCUCUUUCGGCAGGGAAGAUGAUGACGGUACCUGCAGAAGCAGCUGCGGCUAACUACGUGCCAGCAGCCGCGGUAAUACGUAGGCAGCGAGCGUUGUUCGGAGUUACUGGGCGUAAAGGGUGUGUAGGCGGUCCUCCAAGUUUGGUGUGAAAUCUCCCGGCUUAACUGGGAGGGUGCGCCGAAAACUGGGGGGCUAGAGUGCGGGAUGGGAGAGUGGAAUUCCUGGUGUAGCGGUGAAAUGCGUAGAUAUCAGGAGGAACACCGGUGGUGUAGACGGCUCUCUGGACCGUAACUGACGCUGAGACACGAAAGCGUGGGUAGCAAACAGGAUUAGAUACCCUGGUAGUCCACGCCCUAAACGAUGCAUAUUUGGUGUGGGUCAUUCAGUUGAUCCGUGCCGGAGCUAACGCGUUAAAUAUGCCGCCUGGGGAAGUACAGUCGCAAGGAUGAAACUCAAAGGAAUUGACGG